AGGUACCUCAGUUGGAAAUGCAGAAAUCACCCACCUUCUGCAUUGAUCUCGCUGGGAACUGCAGACUGAAGCGGUUCCUAUUUGGCCACCUUGCCAGCCCAUCUCGAACAUCAUCUAAAAGGACUGGACCUACAUCUGCAGUUAACUGCACAAUGGAAGAAACGGCCUCUCCUGGGCAGCCUCAUGGAUGGGGUGAAGAGACAAAGCUUGGGAGUGUAGCAUGUUGAGCACAUCUGCUCAGAGGUAACAUUUAAGCAGUUGUCUCCAAGCAUAAAAAUGGAAAUACUGAUCCUGUGACAACACAGCCUGAAUUUUCUGCUUUGCAGAUGCCAGAUUUAUUUUUAAAUGGUGUGAAUCAAAUCUGUGCUGAGAGGCCAACUUCAAAAUAUAAAAGAAAAAUUGGCAAUGGGAGGAUUGUGCUGGUUUGGCUGAAAUGAAGUGCUCUACGGCAUUUCAUUCUAGUGGAGCGUCUGACUGUGAAAAUCCUUCCAAUUGUAAUUUUCUUUGGCUUGUCAAAAGAGGAUUAUGAACUAAAGUCAGUGUUGCAGGAAAUGUCACCUGUCCUUUGAAAGAAAAUAAUAAAUCAAAAUGGCUUUUGUUCAUCAUGUUUAAAAUGAAAAAAAAAAAAAAGUUGAUCCACUUGGAGUCUUCUCUCAUUUCUUGACAAGGCAGUUAAAUAAAUAAAACGG
rnacentral:lncRNA from 1 species